GCCAGGUGUGGUGGUGCACGCCUGUACUCCCAGCUACUCAGGAGGCUGAGGCAGAAGAAUCGCUUGAACCUGGGAGGCAGAGGCUGCAGUGAGGUGAGAUAGGACUACUGCACUCUAUCCUGCGUGACAGAGCGAGACUCUGCCUCAA
rfam:Pan troglodytes isolate Yerkes chimp pedigree #C0471 (Clint) chromosome 16, whole genome shotgun sequence.